UUGUAUUUGUUCCGUAAGAGAAGAAAAGAGGUGAUUUUGGAUGUGAUUUCGCUAGGUUUAGGUUAAGAAAUGGGGGCUAGUAAAUUCAGGAGCUUUUCUGUCGUUGAUCGUGAUGCUUUAUCCCUUUUCAUUGGGAAUUUACGAAUUGGAUGUAAUAAACCUAAUCGCCUUGAGCUUGCUGCCGUUCUUAAAUCCUGUACUGCCCUUUUCGCCGUCAACUUUGGGGAGACUCUUCAUGGUUAUAUUGUCAAGCAUGGGCAUUUGUCUUGCCAGUUUGUGUCCAAAGGACUGCUUAACAUGUACGCUAAGUGUGGUAAGCUUGAUGAUUGCAUGAAGCUAUUCGGUCAGAUGACUUACCAUGAUCCUGUCAUUUGGAACAUUAUCAUUUCUGGGUUUUCGGGGUCACGAAGGCAUAGUAAUGAGGUCAUGAAGUUGUUCUGUAAAUUCACUCGUUUAGGUGGUGAGGCUAAGCCCAAUUCUAUAACAAUUGCUACUGUUUUGCCGGUCUGUGCGCGCUUAGGAGAAGUGGUGGCUGGAAAAAGUUUGCAUUCUUAUGUGGUCAAAUUGGGAUUUGAGGCCAAUAAUCUCGUAGGAAAUGCUCUUGUAUCAAUGUACUCGAAAUGUGGACUAGUUUGUUAUGACGCUUAUGCUGCGUUUAAAAGCAUUAGUCAAAAAGAUGUUAUUUCGUGGAAUGCCAUAAUUGCAGGUUUUUCUGACAAUGGGUUUAUGGAUGAUUCCGUCAAAUUGUUUAGUUGGAUGCUCAAAGGGACAACCGAACCAAAUUAUGUAACUAUAGCUACUAUCUUGCCCGCAUGUGCUUUUUUAGAUAAAAGGGUUGCUUCUCUCUUAGGGAGAGAGGUCCACUGUUAUGUGCUGCAGCGAACUGAAUUGGCAGAAGAUGUUUUUGUUUGCAAUUCCUUGGUAAGCUUUUAUUUAAGACUUGGAAAGAUGAAAGAAGCUGAAUGCUUGUUUCAAAAGAUGAAAUCAAGAGAUUUGGUUUCAUGGAAUGCAAUUAUUGCAGGGUAUACAUCAAAUGGUGAAUGGUUGAAAGCAGUGGAUUUGUUUGGUAGGUUACUCACAUCGGAUACUAUCAGGCCAGAUUCAGUAACUAUUGUCAGUGUUAUCCCUGCAUGUGCACACUUACGAAACAUGCACGUCGGGAAACAAGUCCAUGGAUAUAUUUUUCGACAUUUUAUUCUACAUGAUGAGGCCAUAUCAGUAGAAAAUGCCAUGAUAAACUUAUAUGCAAAAUGCAACGAUGUAGUUGGGGCAUCCCGAAUAUUUUCAUUGAUGUCAAGGAGAGAUUCGAUAUCAUGGAAUUCCAUGCUCGAUGCUUUUGCCGAAAAUAAAUAUUUUACCGAGUUUCUUAACCUAUUAGCAAGGAUGUUUUCAGAAGGAAUGAGGCCAGACUCCAUUACCAUUUUGACUGUAAUUCGUUACAGCAUUAAUGUUUCAAAAAUAGAAAAUAUUAAAGAAUCUCAUGGAUACUCAAUUAGGGCUGGAUAUUUUCUAGAUAAUAUUCAGCCUACUGUAGGAAAUGCUAUACUUGAUGCAUAUGCUAAAUGUGGUAAUGUAGAGUAUGCUACUAAAGUUUUUCAGAGUUUAUCAGACAAAACAAACUUGGUAUCAUACAAUUCAAUGAUAUCAGGUUAUGUAAACCGUGGGUCACAUGACGACGCAUAUAUGAUAUUUAAAAAGAUGUCUGAAACAGAUCUCACAACUUGGAAUCUGAUGGUUCGAGUUUAUGCUGAAAAUGACUGUUCUGAUCAAGCUCUUUAUUUGUUCUCUGAGUUACAAGCUCAGGGAAUGAGGCCUGAUGCCGUAUCUAUCAUGAGCCUAAUUCCCGUAUGCGCUCAGAUGGCCUCAGUUCACUCUGUGAGGCAGUGUCAUGGAUAUGUUGUGAGAUCUUGUUUUGAUGAUAUGCGCUUAACGGGAGCUCUGUUAGGUGUGUAUGCAAAAUGUGGUGCCAUAGACUCUGCUUACACAAUUUAUCAGUCAAACACGCAGAAGGAUUUGGUCAUGUUCACAGCUAUGAUUGGUGGGUUUGCAAUGCAUGGUAUGGGAAAGGAGGCACUUAGUAUCUUCUCUGAUAUGCUAGAUAUAGGUGCGAAACCAGAUCAUGUUAUCUUUACAGCUGUUUUGUCCGCUUGCAGUCAUGCAGGACUGGUGAGUGAAGGAUUAAAGAUAUUUUAUUCAAUUGAGGAGGUUCAUGGGAUCAAACCCACAAUGGAACAAUAUGCUUGUGUGAUCGAUCUACUUGCUCGAGGUGGCCGAGUUGACGAUGCAUUCUCUUUUGCAAACGACAUGCCUUUUGAUGCUAAUGCAAACAUAUGGGGAACACUGCUUGGUGCCUGCAGGAUCCAUCAGAAGGUAGAAUUAGGACGCAUUGCUGCAGAUCACCUGUUUGAACUUGAAGCUGAUAAUAUAGGGAACUAUGUUGUGAUGUCAAACUUAUAUGCAGCAGAGGCUAAAUGGGAUAGGGUGAUGGAGGUAAGAAGACUGAUGAGGACUAGAGAUUUAAAAAAACCAGCUGGAUGCAGUUGGAUUGAAAUUGAGGGGACCAGGAAUGCUUUUAUAGCUGGAGAUUCUUCUCACCCUGAGAGAAGCUAUAUUUAUAGUAUACUUGGCACAUUGGAUCAACAAUUAAAGAACCAGUUUCGUUAUGACUUGGUAAAUGCUUAAUCAUGGUUUUUGGACAUGAAUAUAAGCAUUUACUUGGCAACUGAUUUUCAACAUAACUGCUUAAAACCUAUAUAUAUCUGGCUGCUCGGGCAUAUAGGAUUUGUCUGAGCAUCCGAGGAACAUUUCUUCUGAGAAAUAUGGAGCGUAUUUUAUUUUCUCAGUGAAACUCACUCUGUCAAUGCAAAUCAUUGGCUUCUCUUUGAGAUUAUCGUCGUCACUAUUAUGGAUUCAGAUCUACAGGAUGGGGG